rnacentral:rRNA from 1 species
AACGAACGCUGGCGGCAGGCUUAACACAUGCAAGUCGAACGCCCCGCAAGGGGAGUGGCAGACGGGUGAGUAACGCGUGGGAAUCUACCCAGAUCUUCGGAACAACUGAGGGAAACUUCAGCUAGUACCGGAUACGCCCUACGGGGGAAAGAUUUAUCGGUUCUGGAUGAGCCCGCGUUGGAUUAGCUAGUUGGUGAGGUAACGGCUCACCAAGGCGACGAUCCAUAGCUGGUCUGAGAGGAUGAUCAGCCACACUGGGACUGAGACACGGCCCAGACUCCUACGGGAGGCAGCAGUGGGGAAUAUUGGACAAUGGGCGAAAGCCUGAUCCAGCCAUGCCGCGUGAGUGAUGAAGGCCUUAGGGUUGUAAAGCUCUUUCAGUGGGGAAGAUAAUGACGGUACCCACAGAAGAAGCCCCGGCUAACUUCGUGCCAGCCGCCGCAGUAA